rnacentral:rRNA from 1 species
ACGCUUCUUUUCUACCGAGUGCUUGCACUCACUUGAAAAGAGGAGAGGCGGACGGGUGAGUAACACGUGGGUAACCUGCCCAUCACAGGGGGAUAACACUUGGAAACAGGUGCUAAUACCGCAUAAUAGUCGACACCGCAUGGUGUUGAUUUGAAAGACGCUUUCGGGUGUCACUGAUGGAUGGACCCGCGGUGCAUUAGCUAGUUGGUGAGGUAACGGCUCACCAAGGCGAUGAUGCAUAGCCGACCUGAGAGGGUGAUCGGCCACACUGGGACUGGGACACGGCCCAGACUCCUACGGGAGGCAGCAGUAGGGAAUCUUCGGCAAUGGACGAAAGUCUGACCGAGCAACGCCGCGUGAGUGAAGAAGGUUUUCGGAUCGUAAAACUCUGUUGUUAGAGAAGAAUAAGUAGGAGAGUAACUGCUCUUACCUUGACGGUAUCUAACCAGAAAGCCACGGCUAACUACGUGCCAGCAGCCGCGGUAAUACGUAGGUGGCAAGCGUUGUCCGGAUUUAUUGGGCGUAAAGCGAGCGCAGGCGGUUUUCUUAAGUCUGAUGUGAAAGCCCCCCGGCUCAACUGGGGGAGGGUCAUUGGAAAACUGGGAGACUUGAGUGCAGAAGAGGGAGAGUGGAAUUCCCAUGUGUAGCGG